AUUGAACGCUGGCGGCAUGCCUUACACAUGCAAGUCGAACGGCAGCACGGGUGCUUGCACCUGGUGGCGAGUGGCGAACGGGUGAGUAAUACAUCGGAACGUACCUUAUCGUGGGGGAUAACGCAGCGAAAGCUGUGCUAAUACCGCAUACGCCCUGAGGGGGGAGGCGGGGGAUCGAAAGACCUCGCGCGAUUAGAGCGGCCGAUGCCUGAUUAGCUUGUUGGCGGGGUAAAAGCCCACCAAGGCGACGAUCAGUAGCUGGUCUGAGAGGACGAUCAGCCACACGGGGACUGAGACACGGCCAAGACUCCUACGGGAGGCAGCAGUGGGGAAGUUUGGACAAUGGGGGCAACCCUGAUCCAGCAAUGCCGCGUGAGUGAAGAAGGCCUUCGGGUUGUAAAGCUCUUUUGUCAGGGAAGAAACACCGGCUCUAACACAGUCCGGGAAUGACGGUACCUGAAGAAUAAGCACCGGCUAACUACGUGCCAGCAGCCGCCGUAA
rnacentral:rRNA from 1 species